CAUAAAUUAUAUGUAUAUAUGUAUAUAUAUAUAUAUGUAUAUAUGUAUAUAUGUAUAUAUAUACACUUACCUAAUACAGUACUGUACACUGUGUUAAGCACGCUUACAUAUAUCUUUGGCAAUGUUAUCUGCAUGUUACAGAUAAACAAGGUUCUCGUAUAUGUUGAGACAUGCCAGAGUUCGUGUCUCAAGUUUCACAUGACAAGUUUAUUCAUUCACACAUUCCUUAACACAACUGCACGUGAGAGGCAGUUAGGUAGACGCUACUGUCUUCAGUAUGGAUGGGUACCUUUACACCCAUUUACCCAUAAGUGGCACUACUUAAAUCCAGUUGCUCACAAAAAAAAAAAAAAA
rnacentral:lncRNA from 1 species